rnacentral:misc_RNA from 1 species
GAUGAAGAACGUAGCGAAAUGCGAUAAGUAAUGUGAAUUGCAGAAUUCAGUGAAUCAUCGAAUCUUUGAACGCACAUUGCGCCCGCUAGUAUUCUGGCGGGCAUGCCUGUCCGAGCGUCAUUUCAACCCUCAAGCCCCCGGGCUUGGUGUUGGGGAUCGGCGAGCCUCCGCGCCCGCCGUCCCCUAAAUCUAGUGGCGGUCUCGCUGUAGCUUCCUCUGCGUAGUAGCACACCUCGCACUGGGAAACAGCGCGGCCACGCCGUUAAACCCCCAACUUCUGAACGUUUGACCUCGGAUCAGGUAGGAAUACCCGCUGAACUUCAGCAUAUCAAUAAGCGGAGGA